AUUGAACGCUGGCGGCAGGCCUAACACAUGCAAGUCGAACGAGUGGCGGACGGGGGAGUAAUGACUGGGAAACUGCCUGAUGGAGGGGGAUAACUACUGGAAACGGUAGAUAAUAACGCAUACCCUCAGAAGUGCCCAGGUGGGAUUAGCUUGUUGGUGGGGUAACGGCUCACAAGGGCGACGAUCCCUAGCUGGGCGGAGAGGAUGACCAGCCACCCUGCAACUGAGACACGUUCCAGUCUCCUACGGGAGGCAGCAGUGCGGAAUAUUGCACACGGGGCUCAAGCCUGAUGCAGCCCUGCCGCGUGUAUUAAGAAGGCCGUCGGGUUUGAAAGUACUUUCCGCGGGGCGGCGUUAUCCGCAGAAUAAGCACCGGCUAACUCCGUGCCAGCAGCCGCGGUAAUUG
rnacentral:rRNA from 1 species